GACGAUGGAUAUAGGGCAAACCUGAUUGGAGAGAUCGAAUGAAAUUGAAUUGCAUCGUUGGGUUUGCAGAGCAAUUUGAGGGUUUAUAUGAGAGGGAAUUGGUUCUUUGCCGAUGAGUUCCCUUCAGCCUCUGGAGGUUGCUCUGAACUCUGUUAGCUCUUCUCUCACUUUCUUUUUCCUGCCAGAGUAAUAGGAAUGGGAUGUCCUUUUGUUUCACUGAAACUCUGAAUUGAUAACCUGGUUUUUGUGGACCUGUGGGCUCAAAUGAGAGAGGCCCAAAUCCAAAAAAAUUUUGUUAUAUUUUAUUUAUUUAUUUAUUU
rnacentral:lncRNA from 1 species